rnacentral:lncRNA from 10 species
CUGUCUCCAGAACAAAGCCUUUGGAUUGGAGCAACCUCAGUUUGAAAUCUGGAUCUGCAACUUCCUGGAAAACAUGCAGUCAAUUGAAACAGAGUUAUCUACUACAAAUGAUGCAGAAACUACAGAAAGUUUUCCCCUGCAUAGCAAAAUCCCAGUGUGGCUCCCAUAAAACAGAUUUGAAGCAGCUCUACUUGCCAAGUAAGUGACUUGCAAAAUGAUAUUUAAAUAAUUAAGUAGAAUUGAAUUGUUUAGUGUGGUCCAUCUGGACGCCAAAUUGCACCCGCCAAAAUGAUAAUUUGGAUUUUAACAUAAUUGAUACUUUACUGUUCUUCCUGAGUCUGAUUUGUCAACAAGCUUUGCUACUUCUUUGCUACUUAGCUUUUUACUCUGUGGCUGCUUCUGAGUUCUGAUAAAAGGUUUACAUCUUGCUAAGUUUCCUUGACUUUUUUGUAAUUUUUGUCCCUGGAGGAGCCAGAGUGGUGCAUUUCCUGGUUCUCAGAUAUAUGGCUAAGUGGGUCUUGAUGAGUCAUUGAGCAAUUGGCUGAGAAACUGCACCUGAAAGAUAGCCUGGGCUGAAAGCUAUAACCAUCAUUAGCUCUUUACAGUUAAACUGUGACUCUAUCUUGAAUUCCAUGAUCACUCUAUCCCAGGAUAGAUGGAUUGUGAAAUGACACUGAUAUGGUUUGGCUCUGUGUCCCCACCCAAAUCUCAUCUCAAACUGUAAUCCCCACGUGUUGAGGGAGGUAGGUAGGUAAUUGGAUCAUGGGGGCGGUUUCCCCCAUGCUAUUCUUGUGAUAGUGAGUGAGUUCUCACGAGAUCUGAUGGUUUUAUAAGCUUCUGGCAUUUCCCUGGCUUGCACUUCUCUCUCCAGCUGCCUUGUAAGGAAGGUGUCUGCUUCACUUUCGCCUUCCACCAUCACUAAGUUUCCUGAGGCCUCCCCAGCCAUGCAGAACUGUGAGUUAAUUAAACCUCUUUCCUUUAUAAAUUACUCAGUCUCAGGCAUUUCUUUAUAGUACUGUGAAAAUGGAUGAAUACAGACAGCCGACUGCAUGGCAGCACUUCACACAUGGAGGGGGGCCUUGAGGGCCGUGCACAGGCAAGUCCAUGUGACUGAAGAUGAGGUGUCCAUUCCUGGGUUCUUGAUGUGAACUGCAGGUCUCCACAAUUCCUUCCUCCCAGAGAACUUCAUGAAGUAGGUUCUCAAGAUAUUAUCAUUUAUUUAUAGAUGCUUUUUAAAAUUCAAAAUAUAAUAAACCAUACAAGGGAACAUAACAAACACCUGUAUUCCCACCACCCAGAACUGUUAGUAUCCCAUUUAACCCUCAUUUCUUGUCCCAUUUUUUUCCCCAAUACCUCCAAAGGCAAACACCAUCAAGUUUGGUGUGUGUCAUAUAUACCUUUAUU